UGAAAUCUGAACACAGGUUGGCCGUAUGGUUAUAUUUUAUUUUAAGAAAUUUCUUUUUCCUCCUUCACCUCUUUGAAAAAAAAAACGGAAAAACAGAGCAAAAGAAAAAUCUCUGUCAAUGAAAAUCUAUCAUUUUCUCUGUUUCUGAAGAUUCACUUUUCCAAAUUCAAAACCCUAAUGUCUAUACGAUCUGAUUUUAUAGCAGUGCUUUUCGGAGUGCAACUUUUUUUUGUCAUUUUCUGUUUGGUUGCAGAGAAAGAAAAAGGAACGCAAUUGGGUGUGUUGGUAGACUAUGGAACAAGAAAAUACCAAAAAUGAAGCUGACAAUGCUGCAGAAGACUUGG